UCUUAUAGUUGUGAUGUGCCUUGUAUUUCUCUUGGAAAAUUGUGGUGCAAUGUUCUUGCAUUUCUUACAUCUGACACGUGGUGCAAUAUUCUUAUAGUUGUGAUGUUUCUAUUUUGAUUUUGGAGAACAAACAAACUUUGUCAAUGCUAAAAAAAUAUUACACCCGGUGGACAAGGAGUCUACCUUACCUAAAGAAACAAGCCUGAAACAAGAAACGCAAACAUGAGACAGAGGCAAUUCCACCAAGAAAGUAAACUGCUUAAAAAGUAUAGCAAAGAAUUCGGGACCUCACAAGCACUUAACCAGAAAUUUAGGGACCUUACAAACCCAGAGAAUAGUCUCAGAAUCACUUUCUAAAUCCAAAAGCAGUCUCCUUUACUACAAUACCGAUGAAUAUUAGACAGAAAUUUACAGCAGUUUUGGUUUCAACUCAUCCUAUGGACAACCCCAAAAGAAGUCAAAAGUCACUUAAUACAUCAUCAACCAAAAUACUGAUUCAACAAAUAUUCCAUUUUUUCCCCAACGCGCAGCAUAUAUGACCCACACAAACAGAAGGAGCCAGCGAAUACCCAGAAACUGCAAUCAC
rnacentral:lncRNA from 1 species